rnacentral:piRNA from 1 species
UAAUGUAACGUGUGGCUCCUUAUGUCAGGA